UACGUAGGUGGCAAGCGUUGUCCGGAUUUACUGGGCGUAAAGGGCGUGCAGGCGGUUUGUUAAGUCUAGGGUGAAAGCUCCCGGCUCAACUGGGAGAGGUCCUUGGAUACUGGCAGACUUGAGGAGGGUAGAGGAGAGUGGAAUUCCCGGUGUAGUGGUGAUAUGCGUAGAUAUCGGGAGGAACACCAAUGGCGAAGGCAGCUCGCUGGGACGGUACUGACGCUGAGGCGCGAAAGCGUGGGGAGCAAACAGG
rnacentral:rRNA from 1 species